rnacentral:rRNA from 1 species
UUCGCAAUGCCCGAAAGGGUGACGAAGCGACGCCGCGUGUGGGAAGAAGGCCUUCGGGUUGUAAACCACUGUCGGGAGUUAAGAAAUGCAAGGAUAUUAAUAGUGUCUUUGUUUGACUAAGGCUCCGGAGGAAGCCACGGCUAACUCUGUGCCAGCAGCCGCGGUAAUACAGAGGCGGCAAGCGUUGUUCGGAAUUAUUGGGCGUAAAGAGCACGUAGGCGGCUGUGUAAGUCGGUUGUGAAAGCCUUCCGCUUAACGGAAGAACAGCAUCCGAUACUACAUGGCUUGAGUGCGGGAGGGGAGAGUGGAACUUCUGGUGGAGCGGUGAAAUGCGUAGAUAUCAGAAGGAACGCCGGCGGCGAAAGCGGCUCUCUGGCCCAUAACUGACGCUGAGUGUGCGAAAGCUAGGGGAGCAAACGGGAUUAGAUACCCCGGUAGUCCUAGCCGUAAACGAUGGGCACUAAGUAGAGGGGUUUU